GGGUUUUGUUGCUUAGUGCGCUGGUCUGUCUAGGCGGGGAGGAUCGGGUCGUGCUGCACCUCGGGCGAUGGCGCUAGCAGUCUCAGGGUUGGAGCGCGGAUCUCUUGGUCGCAGCUGAAAGGACAGGCAGGCACCAGAGGCGUGGUGCCGCCGCCGGCGGUGCUCAGCCGGUCUUGGAGAAGAAGGCUUGGCCGCGCGGCGGCCGGAACGAGGGCAGGAGCAGCGGGCUGGUGGAUAGGGGCAAGCAACCGCCGCUUUGCACAGAUCUCGACUUGUCUAGGGGCUAGAGUUCUCCCCGCAAGAUCUGGUGAUCCGGGGCACAUGCAUAGUUUUGAAGGAUAUCCUGUGGAGAAAGUUGAUGCUACUCCCGAGAGUUUUGCUCCAUCUAUCGCAGCCCUACAUCUGCCGUCGGGCGCGUGACGGAGAUGAGUUAAGCAUUUAGUGGCUUGGAGGAAAUAGAUAGGGAUUCCAUGGUUUACUGUGGGGCGACGUGCGUGAGGUAAAGGCGGCCGCCAUGCUGUACUGCUGUCUUGAUCGGGUCGACAUGCAUCAGGCCAUAGCAAAUCGGAUAUGUGAUGGAAUCAACUCAGUACCAAUUACGUGAAUGGCAUCAGUCUCUCGGAGAGUGUACCUCAGCGAUUGCUGUUCUAGUCCUCAGUUAGCAAAUACAGAUGGGUACUCCAAUAAAAUCCGACUAGAAGGCUGCCUUGCACUUGUCAGCAUGGAGUUUCAAUAUCACCUGAUCUGUCUGGUUCAUUAUGGUCAACAAAAGCCUUAAUGGCUAAACAAGGCUUCAGUUUUGUUAUAUGUUUGUGUUUUACUGAUGAAUUUGCAAUCACAUGCAUCCCUAAUUCAUGA